rnacentral:rRNA from 1 species
GAUGAACGCUGGCGGCGUGCCUAAUACAUGCAAGUCGAGCGAACAGACGAGGAGCUUGCUCCUCUGACGUUAGCGGCGGACGGGUGAGUAACACGUGGAUAACCUACCUAUAAGACUGGGAUAACUUCGGGAAACCGGAGCUAAUACCGGAUAAUAUAUUGAACCGCAUGGUUCAAUAGUGAAAGACGGUUUUGCUGUCACUUAUAGAUGGAUCCGCGCCGCAUUAGCUAGUUGGUAAGGUAACGGCUUACCAAGGCGACGAUGCGUAGCCGACCUGAGAGGGUGAUCGGCCACACUGGAACUGAGACACGGUCCAGACUCCUACGGGAGGCAGCAGUAGGGAAUCUUCCGCAAUGGGCGAAAGCCUGACGGAGCAACGCGGCGUGAGUGAUGAAGGUCUUCGGAUCGUAAAACUCUGUUAUUAGGGAAGAACAAAUGUGUAAGUAACUAUGCACGUCUUGACGGUACCUAAUCAGAAAGCCACGGCUAACUACGUG